GGGGGCGUACUGGUUUCGACUUGGUUGGUGCGCCAGAGGCGGCAUGCCGAGGAUGGUUCGUUGGCCUCGUUAAUCAUCGGACCGAACAAUAAUUGCUAACGAAGAAUUAGCUCUCGCGGCCUAAGCGCCACGACGUUCACCGGCGGACACCUGCUACGCCGGAUGAGCGCCACAGCAGGAGUAGGCUCGACGCGGCGUCCGCGCGCGGCGGGUUGAAGUUCUUAUCCUGCGGGCUAGGCUGGGCGACUCGGAGUCAGGCCGCCAUCGCCCGGCAGAAAACUCUCUCCUGACUAAGCAUGUAGUCGCGGCUGGCAAUCUGGCUAAGGACCCGGGUUCAACUCCCGGCGCCUCCACCA
rnacentral:tmRNA from 2 species